UACGGCCACAUCAUUUUGAAACACCUGUUCCCUUACGAUCACCGAAGUUAAGCAUUGUCAAGCCUGGUCAGUACUUAGAUGGGUGACCCCUUGUGAAUACCUUGUACUGUAA